rnacentral:rRNA from 1 species
CCAAUAGCGUAUAUUAAAGUUGUUGCAGUUAAAAAGCUCGUAGUUGAAUUUCGGGGUUAGUAGGUUGGUCAUGCCUCUGGUAUGUACUGGUCUCACUGAUUCCUCCUUCCUGAUGAACCGUAAUGCCAUUAAUUUGGUGUUGCGGGGAAUUUGGACUGUUACUUUGAAAAAAUUAGAGUGUUUAAAGCAAGCUAACGCUU